rnacentral:rRNA from 1 species
CCUACGGGUGGCUGCAGUGGGGAAUAUUGGACAAUGGGGGCAACCCUGAUCCAGCCAUGCCGCGUGUGUGAAGAAGGCCCUCGGGUUGUAAAGCACUUUCAGUGAGGAAGAACGCCUGGUGGUUAAUACCCAUCAGGAAAGACAUCACUCACAGAAGAAGCACCGGCUAACUCCGUGCCAGCAGCCGCGGUAAUACGGAGGGUGCGAGCGUUAAUCGGAAUUACUGGUCGUAAAGCGCGCGUAGGUGGCUUGAUAAGCCGGUUGUGAAAGCCCCGGGCUCAACCUGGGAACGGCAUCCGGAACUGUCAAGCUAGAGUGCAGGAGAGGAAGGUAGAAUUCCCGGUGUAGCGGUGAAAUGCGUAGAGAUCGGGAGGAAUACCAGUGGCGAAGGCGGCCUUCUGGACUGACACUGACACUGAGGUGCGAAAGCGUGGGUAGCAAACAGGAUUAGAUACCCUAGUAGUC